UUGUGUUUUAAAAUGAAGAUAUAUAUUUUGACAUUGAUUUCAUUUUAGAUUUGUAUUAGAAAACUUUUGAGGAAAAAGGGUCUAAUAACCAUUAUUUACCAUUACAAUUUCUAACUGCCUAAUGGAUGUGUUUAUUACCUAAUUUGCAGAUGCACACAUCAGACAGGCCAUUAUAUACAGUUGUUUACUUAUGAUAACUUCAAAUCUAUUCAAAAACUUUGUCAUCAUUUAUUGAAAGCUUUGAAGCUGAGUGUCACAAUUAUGUUCCAACCAUACUCCCAUACUUUUGGUUGAGUUCUAGUAUCUAAAUUUUGUUUUGUAAUGUAUUUCCAUACUUUUGAGUUAUUUAUAUAUUUUUGCUUGCAUGAGUGGUCACUGGGUGUAGUAAUACUACUGGAGAAAACCUGUUUAACAGGUAUUAUUUAUAUUUAAAUAAACUUGCUUAGUGGUUUGAAGAGUGAGGUUAGAUGUAUUCUGGGAGACACGCUGUGUGGACGUGUCUGUACUCUUGGUGAGAUAUCUUGGGCGUUUCCCAUGCUGUGUGAUCUUGGGAACGGCAUCCCUGUGUGGGCUUAUUUGUGUGAGAGAGAUACAACCCAGUAAGUGUUACAUUAUUUCUAUUUUUAUGGUUGAUAUUAAUUCUGCAUUGUGAGUAGAGUUAGACUACAGGUAUGUGAAAUUGUAAUUUAAAUAGCUGUUAUGUCGAAUGCCAUCUAGUCCAUCCGAUAGAACUGAUGUCAACAACCUCCUAAUUAUUGUAUACUUGUAAAUAAAUCGUGUUUGUUUUGUAAAUUUUGUUUUGUUUGACUUACAAGGACCAUCCUUUUACCAGAUUGGUGAAAUGUGUUAAGAACCUAGUAUACAAUUUGAAUGCAAUUGUGACAUUUUGGUGGCAGCGGUGGGAUGGUCUUUGUUUGGUCAUUUUUUUUGGUACUAUUUGUGUGAACUACUCGCAUAUUUUUCCACUGUAAUAUGUUUUAGUACCUGUGCUUACUUUUGAGGGUUUUUUUUUCUAAUGUAGCAAUUUUUUUUUAGAAAAACUCAAACAUUUUUACAUUGUAUGUCUACAUUUUUUCGCACGUUGAGCGGUUUGUUGCUCAUUUUUUUCUUUUUGAACAUGGAAUUCAUUGAGUUGGGUACUAGAUUAGGAUUGAAAGAUGAAGAUUUGAGAGAAUUUGAUAAAAAUAAAGAGACAGAGAAAUUUGAAAGAGAUGAGAGAGCGGCAGAGAGAGAAGUUCGUAAGAUAGAAAAAGAGAUUGAGCUAGAAACAAUAAAGAGAGAAACAGAGUAACAGAGACAGAAAAACUCAGAGAUAGCUGCUGCAAGUGCUUCUGUAUCAAGUCAGGCUAAACUUCCCAAACUACCAGUUUUUGAAGAAACUAAUGACUGUAUUGACUCCUAUUUACAGAGAUUCGAGAGAUUUGCAUUCAACGCAAAAUGGGAAGAGUCCAUCUGGGCCAUCAAUCUCAGUACAUUGUUAAAAGGUAAAACUCUGGACGUUUAUUCUAGAUUACCUGCAGGUGAAGCUCUCAAUUACAGAUGUCUGAAGCAGGCGCUACUAAAGCGAUUCCAACUGACAGAGGAAGGAUAUCACUCAAAGUUCCGUAAUUCUAAACCAGAACAAGAGGUCAUCAAAGGAUCAGAGAACAUUGGAGCAGAUUUCCUGAGUCGGCAUGUUGCAGAAUAGAUUAGUUUUAAGUGCAUGAACUGUUUAACUUACGGCACAUUUCAUUUACGAUAAAAUGUUACAAAAUUGUAUUUUGUUCUUAGGAAUGGAGGUAUUGUCACAAUUAUGUUCCAACCAUACUCCCAUAUAUACUUUUGGUUGAGUUCUAGUAUCUAAAUUUUGUUUUGUAAUGUAUUUCCAUACUUUUGAGUUAUUUAUAUAUUUUUGCUUGCAUGAGUGGUCACUGGGUGUAGUAAUACUACUGGAGAAAACCUGUUUAACAGGUGACCACGGAGUGGGCACGUGCACGUGGUGGACCAUGUUAUAUCCGUGGAAGGACUUAUGGUGGGACAAUUAAUAUCCAAACCAAAAACUUAUGCUUUCCCAGUCCUACGGAACUUACCUUAUGUGAGACGUCUUGUCGAAUGCCAUCUAGUCCAUCCGAUAGAACUGAUGUCAACAACCUCCUAAUUAUUGUAUAUUUGUAAAUAAAUUGUGUUUGUUUUGUAAA